AGGCUGAAGGAAGGGAAAAAAUGAAAAGAAAAAAAUAAAUAAAAAGAGGGCGGGGGGAAGGAAAAAAAAAAAAAAGAAAACGUAUUCCAUAGUUACAGAUUUAACCCAGCUCUUUUCUUUAAUUUUUCCAACCCUAUGAUGUUAUCAAUAAAUCUCUUUCAGUUUCCAUUCAUUAGAACUGCAGUUUCCAGAGGACAGAAAAGCAUCCCUAGAUCAGAGUAGCUGUAGCAUAUCUUUAGAGGGACAGGAGGGGAUAGCUUGCUUCCUGUCUUGUCCUGAGAAAGGUAACUUUGCUGAAGAGAGAGGCUAACUAGAAGGGAAUACUUCCUCCUGAUGGAUUUGGGACAUUUACUUCUGUGAGAGGGCACUGAUGUUUUUACUGCUGAAGGCAGCUGCUUAUAAUGUCACCAAGCAGGAGCCUGAACCAUCUUGUGUCUGCUGUGCACUGGAGGCAGCAGGUUGCGGGAAUCCAUCCAGAAUGCAAGAUAUUCCAGCAAGUAGUGAAAGAGGAGGCACUCUGCCUAGAAAAGAAUGAAUCUGUUUCAUCUGAUUUUAAAGGUAACGGUCUUGAUUGACAAGUUCUGAUAUUAGUAUCUCUUGAAUCACUUCAGGUUUGUGAUGUGAAGAUACCAGUUACUGAAUCAAAAUUUGAUUCCACAACCCUAUUUUAUUUGGCUUGAAGUGUUUCUCCUUCUAUUGGAUGCAGCUUUACCUCAUCUGAUUUUAGACGUCUGUAAAUGCUCAAUGUCUAAGUCAGGAUAUGUCUUCUUAGAUUCCCUUAAAGUAAAUGUAGAAAGGUGGGUGUCCUUAGAAAAAUUUUCAUUGCCUUUGCCUUAGAUGCUUACUUUAGGAUGA
rnacentral:lncRNA from 1 species